rnacentral:rRNA from 1 species
ACGCUCGACACCUACGGGAGGCUGCAGUCGGGAAUAUUGCGCAAUGGAGGAAACUCUGACGCAGUGACGCCGCGUAUAGGAAGAAGGUUUUCGGAUUGUAAACUAUUGUCGUUAGGGAAGAUACAAGACAGUACCUAAGGAGGAAGCACCGGCUAACUAUGUGCCAGCAGCCGCGGUAAUCUGAGCGGGCUGGCAAGGC